rnacentral:rRNA from 1 species
AUUGAACGCUGGCGGCAUGCCUUACACAUGCAAGUCGAAGGGUAACAGGUCUUCGGACGCUGACGAGUGGCGUACGGGUGAGUAAUACAUCGGAACGUGCCCGAGAGUGGGGGAUAACGAAGCGAAAGCUUUGCUAAUACCGCAUACGAUCUCAGGAUGAAAGCAGGGGACCGCAAGGCCUUGCGCUCACGGAGCGGCCGAUGGCAGAUUAGGUAGUUGGUGGGAUAAAAGCUUACCAAGCCGACGAUCUGUAGCUGGUCUGAGAGGACGACCAGCCACACUGGGACUGAGACACGGCCUAGACUCCUACGGGAGGCAGCAGUGGGGAAUUUUGGACAAUGGGCGCAAGCCUGAUCCAGCCAUGCCGCGUGCAGGAUGAAGGCCUUCGGGUUGUAAACUGCUUUUGUACGGAACGAAAAGACUCCUUCUAAUAAAGGGGGUCCAUGACGGUACCGUAAGAAUAAGCACCGGCUAACUACGUGCCAGCCGCCGCCGUAAAAC